rnacentral:rRNA from 1 species
GCCUAGCCGUAAACAAUUAAUUUACACUAAUAAACGCCAGGGAACUACGAGCCAUGCUUAAAACCCAAAGGACUUGACGGUGUCCCAUUCCCCCUAGAGGAGCCUGUUCUAUAAUCGAUGACCCCCGCUAUACCUAACCAUUCCUCGCUUUAUCAGCCUGUAUACCUCCGUCACAAGCUUACCAUGUGAACGUCAACAGUAAGCCUAAUGGUUAACCUAAACCAACAUGUCAGGUCAAGGUGCAGCUUACGAAAUGGAAAGUAAUGGGCUACAAUUUCUAACGUAGAACAUAACGGAAGGCUAUGUGAAACCAUAGCAUGAAGGCGGAUUUAGUAGUAAAAAGAAAAUAGAGUGUUCUUUUUAAUGUCGGUUCUGGGACGCGUACACACCGCCCGUCACCCUCUUCAAUAGCUCCAACCUAGAUUUAUAAUCCCAUAUUUGCAUUUUAGAAGAGGCAAGUCGUAACAUGGUAAGUGUACUGGAAAGUGCACUUGGUUAACAACAUGUAGCUUAA